AUUGAACGCUGGCGGCAGGCCUAACACAUGCAAGUCGAGCGAGCGGCGGACGGGUGAGUAAUGUCUGGGAAACUGCCUGAUGGAGGGGGAUAACUACUGGAAACGGUAGCUAAUACCGCAUACCAUCAGAUGUGCCCAGAUGGGAUUAGCUAGUAGGUGGGGUAACGGGUCACCUAGGCGACGAGCCCUAGCUGGUCUGAGAGGAGGACCAGGCACGCGGGAACGGAGAGACGGUCCAGACUCCUACGGGAGGCAGCAGUGGGGAAUAUUGCACAAUGGGCGCAAGGCUGAUGCAGCGAUGGCGCGUGUGUGAAGAAGGCCUUCGGGUUGUAAAGCACUUUCAGCGGGGAGGCGUUACCCGCAGAAGAAGCACCGGCGAACUCCGUGCCAGCAGCCGCGGUAAUAC
rnacentral:rRNA from 1 species